CUACGGGUCGCUGCAGUGAGGAAUAUUGCACAAUGGAGGAAACUCUGAUGCAGCAACGCCGCGUGGAGGAUGACGCAUUUCGGUGUGUAAACUCCUUUUAUAUGUCAAGAAAAUGACGGUAGCAUAUGAAUAAGCACCGGCUAACUCCGUGCCAGCAGCCGCGGUAAUACGGAGGGUGCAAGCGUUACUCGGAAUCACUGGGCGUAAAGGACGCGUAGGCGGGAUAUCAAGUCAGGUGUGAAAUCCUACAGCUUAACUGUAGAACUGCACUUGAAACUGGUAACCUAGAGUAUGGGAGGGGGAGAUGGAAUUAGUGGUGUAGGGGUAAAAUCCGUAGAUAUCACUAGGAAUACCUAAAGCGAAGGCGAUCUCCUGGAACAUUACUGACGCUAAGGCGUGAAAGCGUGGGGAGCAAACAGGAUUAGAUACCCGUGUAGUC
rnacentral:rRNA from 1 species